GUGCUUGUUUCCACAGCACAUAUACUAAAAUUGGCAUGAUACAGAGAAGAUUAGCAUGGCAAGAUUAACAUCCAAAUUGUAAAGCAUUUUA
rnacentral:snRNA from 1 species